UACGUAGGGACCAAGCGUUGUUCGGAUUUACUGGGCGUAAAGGGCGCGUAGGCGGCUUGUCAAGUCACUUGUGAAAUCUCUGGGCUUAACCCAGAACGGCCAAGUGAAACUGACAUGCUAGAGUGCAGAAGGGGCAAUCGGAAUUCUUGGUGUAGCGGUGAAAUGCGUAGAUAUCGAAGAGGAACACCUGAGGUGAAGACGGGUUGCUGGGCUGACACUGACGCUGAGGCGCGAAAGCGUGGGUAGCAAACAGG
rnacentral:rRNA from 1 species